UGGUGUCCCAUUUUGAUCUAUACCAUAUCUAAUAAAAUCUAAUGAGAUUUCUCAUGGAUCUAUCUCAGUUUUAGGGUUAACUAAAAGAAAAAUAGGUUCAUUACAUGAGUUUCAAACUGAAAUUUGGAUGAAUAAUCCGUUUAUUUAGUUUUAUCUUUUUUCCCACCUUCAGAAGAAUAAAGCAUAGGCAUUUCUACUAGUG
rnacentral:lncRNA from 1 species